AUGUACCAUCGGAUACUCCGAUUCCUCCGCGCCUUCCUCACCCCCGCUGACGACUGCUCACUGCGUUGUGUUCGCC
rnacentral:sRNA from 1 species